GAGCGGUGAGGAAGACACAAAAGCACACUGACAAACCUCUGGAGACUGUCAGAUCCAACUCUGAGCUCACUGUUCUU
rnacentral:snoRNA from 1 species